rnacentral:rRNA from 1 species
GACGAACGCUGGCGGCGUGCUUAACACAUGCAAGUCGAACGGAAAGGCCCUUCGGGGUACUCGAGUGGCGAACGGGUGAGUAACACGUGGGUGAUCUGCCCUGCACUUUGGGAUAAGCCUGGGAAACUGGGUCUAAUACCGAAUAGGACCACGCGCUUCAUGGUGUGUGGUGGUAAGCUUUUGCGGUGUGGGAUGGGCCCGCGGCCUAUCAGCUUGUUGGUGGGGUAAUGGCCUACCAAGGCGACGACGGGUAGCCGGCCUGAGAGGGUGACCGGCCACACUGGGACUGAGAUACGGCCCAGACUCCUACGGGAGGCAGCAGUGGGGAAUAUUGCACAAUGGGCGCAAGCCUGAUGCAGCGACGCCGCGUGAGGGAUGACGGCCUUCGGGUUGUAAACCUCUUUCAAUAGGGACGAAGCGCAAGUGACGGUACCUAUAGAAGAAGCACCGGCCAACUACGUG